UACUGUAACAAGAAAAUGAAAAUUUUUCCUUCCGAAUAACUUUUUGGUCAUUUGGUACCUAUUUGAUGUGGGAAAUGUGCCUAAAUAUUUUUGGCCAGGUUUUAGACCACUGUGGGUCGUUAAAAUUUUCUGCUUGUUAGUCAGUCGUAUGAUAGGGGAGAGUGGGGCCAAAUGUAACACUUUUUUCUAAAAUCGAUGGUUCUCCUACAAAUUUGAAAGUGGGUCAACCAGACCUUUUUUAAAUUAAGGACCCAUGUUUUAGCUCCAAGAUCCAUCAUAAAAAUUUAGCAAAACAUAACGGUAAUGUUGAAAAAUAAAGCUUCCAAAAAAAAAAUCGUGUUGUUUCAACUUACCCCACAUACGGGGCAAAGUGUAACACAUACCGGGGUAGGUUGUACCAAGAACUAAAAAUAAGAGAAAAAUACCUUUAUUUGUUUAUAUUUAUUUAUUUUUAAUUAAUAACAAUAAAAACAAACCUCAGUCAUGAAAUUUUGGUGCAAAUUUGUAAAAAGUGGAGCAAAUCCAAGAUUUCCAGAGAAAAUUUGACAGUAGUCUUAAAUAAAAGUUAUUCGAAUUCAUAAAUUGUUUUAUAAGCUUUAUGAAUUCAAGUGGUGGUUCAAAAAUGUGUUUCCAAUUUCAAAAUAAAUACAAAUUCAAUUACAAGCAUUCAUAUUCAGGGUUGUUAAUUAUAUUAGGUAAACAAUUUUUCAGUAUAGGUAGGUUUUUACAUGGUACAACUUGCCCCGGAAAAAUGUUACAACUAGCCCCAGCAUGAAAUUUGGCACAUAAAAUCAAUUUAAAAAAAAAAGCGAAACUGAUAUAGACAUAACAUAUACACGCAAUUUGAGCCAAAACA